rnacentral:lncRNA from 1 species
UAUUUUUUUUACCUUUUGCACUCAUUUUGUCAAAAAUAAAAACAUCAAAAAGAUUUUUCUUUGUUUCUUUAGUAAGCUUCCAUAAUUUGAAAAUUUAAAAAAAAAAAAAGAUUUCUUUUAAUAGGAGUUUUAUAAAAGAAAAUUCAAAAAUGGUAGAAGUUUUAUACAUUUCAUAUAGCGAAAAUGUCUCAAAAAAGAUUUUUCUUUCCUAGUUGUGGGUGUCAUGUGUCAAAUUAAAAAC